CAGAUCGCAUGUGUUAUGAGAAGCUGAACAUUGAAGGUACGGAGCGUGGCAACUGUGGUCAGGACAGCAGCUCACACAGCUGGAUUCAGUGCAAUAAACAGGAUGUGUUGUGCGGAUUUUUAUUAUGCACUAAUAUCACAGCGAAACCACGGUAUGGAGACUUAAAUGGAGAAAUCACAAGUCUUACCAUCUACCAUCAGAACAAGUACCUGGAUUGUUGUGGGGGUCAUGCAG